rnacentral:rRNA from 1 species
CGGCAGCGCGGGGCAACCUGGCGGCGAGUGGCGAACGGGUGAGUAAUAUAUCGGAACGUACCCUGGAGUGGGGGAUAACGUAGCGAAAGUUACGCUAAUACCGCAUACGAUCUAAGGAUGAAAGUGGGGGAUCGCAAGACCUCAUGCUCCUGGAGCGGCCGAUAUCUGAUUAGCUAGUUGGCGGGGUAAAAGCCCACCAAGGCAACGAUCAGUAGCUGGUCUGAGAGGACGACCAGCCACACUGGAACUGAGACACGGUCCAGACUCCUACGGGAGGCAGCAGUGGGGAAUUUUGGACAAUGGGCGCAAGCCUGAUCCAGCAAUGCCGCGUGAGUGAAGAAGGCCUUCGGGUUGUAAAGCUCUUUUGUCAGGGAAGAAACGGUGGGGGCUAAUAUCCCCCGCUAAUGACGGUACCUGAAGAAUAAGCACCGGCUAACUACGUGCCAGCAGCCGCGGUAAUACGUAGGGUGCAAGCGUUAAUCGGAAUUACUGGGCGUAAAGCGUGCGCAGGCGGUUUUGUAAGUCUGUCGUGAAAUCCCCGGGCUCAACCUGGGAAUUGCGAUGGAGACUGCAAGGCUAGAGUUUGGCAGAGGGGGGUAGAAUUCCACGUGUAGCAGUGAAAUGCGUAGAUAUGUGGAGGAACACCGAUGGCGAAGGCAGCCCCCUGGGUCAAAACUGACGCUCAUGCACGAAAGCGUGGGGAGCAAACAGGAUUAGAUACCCUGGUAGUCCACGCCCUAAACGAUGUCUACUAGUUGUCGGGUCUUAAUUGACUUGGUAACGCAGCUAACGCGUG